rnacentral:misc_RNA from 4 species
AAGUCGUAACAAGGUCUCCGUUGGUGAACCAGCGGAGGGAUCAUUACCGAGUUUACAACUCCCAAACCCCUGUGAACAUACCACUUGUUGCCUCGGCGGAUCAGCCCGCUCCCGGUAAAACGGGACGGCCCGCCAGAGGACCCCUAAACUCUGUUUCUAUAUGUAACUUCUGAGUAAAACCAUAAAUAAAUCAAAACUUUCAACAACGGAUCUCUUGGUUCUG